rnacentral:SRP_RNA from 1 species
GCUGGGCGCGGUGGCUCACGCCUGUAAUCCCAGCACUUUGGGAGGCUGAGACGGGUGGCUCACCUGAGGUCAGGAGUUCGAGACCAGCCUGACCAACAUGAUGAAACUCCGUCUCUU